UCCCGUUUGCUACGGGCAGUCUCGCUAGAGAAAUACAACUAGCGACAGGGGUUGCGCUCGUUGCGGGACUUAACCCAACACCUCACGGCACGAGCUGACGACAGCCGUGCAUCACCUCGCACAGUGCCCCGAAGGGAGACCGGCUUUCACCGGCUGUCACUGCACGUUCAAGCCCAGGUAAGGUUCUUCGCGUCGCAUCGAAUUAAACCACACGCUCCGCUGCUUGUGCGGGCCCCCGUCAAUUCCUUUGAGUUUCAAUCUUGCGAUCGUACUUCCCAUCGUUUAGGGCGUGGACUAC
rnacentral:misc_RNA from 1 species